UACAGUUUUCAAUAUACAUAUGGUAUGAAAUAAUUUCCUAUUGAAGUCAUCUUAACAUGGAACCAGAAUUAAAUCCUAACAACAAUCAUGUGAGCCUGGGGAGGAUCCUUCCCCACGUGAGCCUUCAGGGGAGACUUCAGCCUUGGCCAUCUUCUACAUCUAGAUUCCUGACCAAGAGAAGCUGUGAGUAAUGUGUAUGUGCUUUUCAGCCACUCAGCUGUGUGGGAAUUUGUUAUACAACAAUAGCUAAGUAACACACCUGGCAUUGAAUGUAAUGUGGUAUCCUAGAUUAGAUACUGGAAUAGAAAAGUGACAUUAUUGGAAACCUGAGGAGAACUAUGAAGAAAGUCUGUAGUUCCAUUGAUGGUUUUAUAACACUGUCAAUUUCUCAGUUUUCAUGAAUAGUCUAUGGUUAUAUAAUGUGUUAACAUUCCUUUAAGCUGAAAGGUAUAUGAAACUCUCUGCACUAUAUAUACCUCCUUCUGUAAGUCAAAUAUGAUUUCAAAAUAAUUUUAAAAUAAUAUUUUGGUGCAAAACAAAAACCAACAAAAAGACACAAGAACAUUAGCUUGGUUUCAGGAGAUGGGGUGGGCAAGUAGGGAAAGAACAGCAGUGCAGCUUUCCUAAUCUAUCCACCAUUCGGAACCCAGGUGCACCUGCUUCAGUUAAACACAGUUAGCUCUGGGGACUCUCAUCCAUUUUUGUCUUUGAAAUCAUGCUACUCAUUAUCCACGAACAUUUCAAGUGUCAGUAACCACUUCUUCAGAGAGAGGUGCCUGUUCCUCAUAUAUCCCAGGAUGCCCCAUUUUCAGGCAUUGUCUGGCAGUUUAUUCACAUAAUUCCAGUAAAGCCUUUCUGGAAAAAAUGACUGCUGGACCUUAGAAGCCGAUAUUGCAAAAUGUCAGUGACAGGGAACACAAAUUGUAUUUCUACAAUCAGGAGAGUGUUUUAAUUCCCUUGGUACAGAGAUUUGUUCUUCAACUGAUUAUCAGAUCACUGUGAUAAUUUCUAUUUCUCUUGUCAUGAAUUAUUUGGGACCAUAUAUUCUGUUGCUCUUCACAUCUUGGAAUUAUAUUGUCCAUUUCCAAGGUCAAAGACCACAGAAUAAAUGUCAUCCUGGCAGCAGGUGAGUAGGGCACACAAACAAUGCUUCUAAAUAUGGUGGUUGAUGACAAUGCUUGCUUACUAAGACCUCGAUAUGAAUCUGUGGACAACUGGUUUUUGGCAGGUGAAGUCAUGUGAGUGAUUCAGUAUAUGCUGUGUAUGGCUGGAGAAAGCUGAGUAGAUACAAGAAAAAGCAGUGUGUAACAGAUCUCCCCCCACCAUGCAGUGAUCUAAGAGAUGGACCCAGGCUAAAUGGUGACUCUGCACGUGUUCUGGCUAAACAAAGAAUCUCACAGCAGGAAGAACUGUCCAGCUGUCCCCCACAUAGGUCCCUGCUCAUAGUUCACGGCACUCUGCGGUGUUAGCAUCAGGGUUGUGCCAAAGAACCAUGCCUACAAAGCCUCCCAAGCCAUGAGUCUGCAUGCUGCACUCACACAGACAUAGACAAAGCCAAGACUAUUGCCUUUAUGAUGGUCUGUAAACAUGGGGCAUAUUCUCUAUAGCACAUUGAUAGCUUAUAUGAGAAAAUGAGAUCUUGCAGCCUGGAGACCUAGAGUGGGAGAUAUGACUGACCUCGACCACAUUUUUCACUUCUGAUAUCAGCAUAGAAGUGAUUUAGGUGCUGUUAUUUGAGCAUCUGUACUUUAAGAAACCUUCCACGUCUUCCAAGUUCCAUAUACUUUACUCUUUAAGACAUGACUCCUCUUUUAAAUUUGACAUCUUAAAGGAGGUUUAUUCCAUUUUUUAAAUUUUAACUGAAGAUACUAUAGUACAGUACUUAAAUGACAGAUCUUCUGUUCCUCUUCAUUUUAAUGCAUACUUUUUGAUCUAUUAUGAUGCAUACUGUGAAUAUUCUGCCCACCAAUAAAUGGACCAAAAAAUGGCCAGAGUGACACAUAUGAGCCACAGUUAGACCUGGACAUGAGUUAUGAGGACUACCACAUGGUGGUCACAAUAAUUGAGAUCUGAGUUCUCAAAUUUAAAGGAAAACAGGCACUAUACACAAAACUCUACUGACAUAUUAUCAUGGACACAAAGGACAGAGUGCUGAGCACUGAGUGCCCAAACAAGUGCUUUAACAGCAUGGAAGGCAUGAUUUCCCACAAUAUACUAAGCCACUAAAUUCACAAAGGCCACCACAAUUCUAAAAAAAGAUGUCACUGCAAACAAACCCAAGUCUUAGACCACAAUAUAAGACAAACAUCCCAACAUGCUGUCUCCACACUCUAGCCUGAUUAGGAGUUGUAGUUCAGUGGAUGAAUGGCCCAUAUAUUUAACAUCAUUACUUCAUGUUCAUGCAAUUCAACCUUCCUGCAGUCUAAAACUAUAGGUGAAAUUUCAGUCAAAGUCCUAAAUUAUGAAUUGUAUGAGUUUCUUCUUCACUUAAUAUUUUCCCAGGGAAACAGGAAAACUAAUUUCAAUAUCCAAGUGUCCAAAAGUAGAGUUUGCCAGAGUAGCAAGGGGGCAGAACAAAGCAUUUUAUGAAGAUCACAAUGCAUCUGCUUCUACAGUGCCUAUGUAUUAUCACCAUUUGUGUGAUUAAAAGGGUGAAUGAGAAUGAAGAAAAACAGAGAUCAAGAAUGUUAUAGAUUAAAGAAUUGAAUUUGUAAUGUAGCUUGCAGGGAUCAUUGCUUAUAUUACUAACUUUAGGACACAAUUUUUUUAAUAUAGAUUUUCCUUAGUCUUUAGAAAACUAGCACUUCAGGAAAAAUUUCAAGUGUCUCUCUACAAUUUAUAUCUUCCUCAUCAACAGAUUUCUUGAACCAUAGUUUAUAAAACAAUUACAGCACUUUACUAAUAAGUCUAAUAUUUCUAAUAACUAAGUAGAAUGUAAAUAGAAUUGUUAAAUUAAUGUGAAAAUAUAUACAACAAUGUUUACUUAAUAACAGACUAAAAUAUAGCAGAUUAGCCACCAUGAUUUUUUCUUUUUCUUUUUGAGUUGGAGUUUGCUGUUUCGCCCAGGCUGGAGUGAAGUGGCGAGAUCUCCCCUCACUGCAACCUCCGCCCCCGGGGUUCAAGUGAUUCUCCUGCCUCAGCCACCACCAUUUAACACUGAGAAGUGGGCAGUCACAGAGAAAAAGUUUAGAAUAGUUCACCAGUGAAGUCAUCUCAACCAGCACAGGGCCUUGACUCCUAACAACAAUCACACGAACUUGGAAGAGGAGCCUUCCCCAACUGAACCUUCGCUUGAGACCUCGUCCUUGGCCAUCCUCUACAUCUGGAUUCAUGAUACAGAGAAACUUGAGUAAUGAUGACACUAGCAGUCCAGCCUGCAUGGAUGCUGACAUGGAUGCUGUCUCCCAUUCUUACCACUGGAUGGGAAGAAAUGCUAGAUGCAAUCCAGCCAGUCUGUACUCGACUGUCAGUUCCAUCUUCUCAACUCACAGUGUCUUCCAAAGUCCGUGCCACACCACAGCCUGGAACAUCUCCCAAGGUUUCAAAUAAUUCAUCAGUGAAUUCUUCUCAACCUGGUCAAUCAUGUGAACUUAGAAGAUGAUUCCUCCCCAGCUGAUCCUCAGGUGAGACAUCAGCCUUGGCCAUCAUCUACAUCUGGAUUCCUGACCCAGAGAAACUGGAACACUAAGACCCAUUCUUCUUCUCAAGUAUCCAAAAAUAAAGUUGAUCCAAGUAAGAAGUGGACAGCAUAAAAGAUUGUAUGGAAGCUAUAAUGCAUCUACAUCUGCAGUAACUAAUCAUAAAAUGAUUUGUAUGAUCAUUCUUCACAUGAUUAGAAUUACUAUGGGAAAGAAGAAAAAGAAAUGCCUCUCUGGAUGGUGACUAUAACCUAUAGCCUUGCCCAAUAUGACUCAGGAUUUGGUACUGGCUGUGCCUUUCAUGGGAUGCUUACUUAUCCUGGUCGAUGGCCUAAAGCCCAACCGUCCAGCUUAUAUCCAGGGAUAAACUCAGCCUGCGGGGCCUCAGGAAGAAGGUCGUAGCCAUUUCAUUGAGUCCAGGGCAGAAAAGUGGAAGAAAAAUGUGAAUGUGUUAAUUUGAGGACUUUAGCUCUGAGAGGUUUCAGGAUUCAGUCCAAAAUGCAGAAAACAAUAAAAAGCUCAAAAACAAUGGACAAGACUAGAAUCUAACAACAGGGUCUCAAGCCACCCAGGCUGGAGUGCAGUGGCACAAUUAUGGCUCACUGUAGCCUCACCUUCCUGGGAUCAAGCAAUCUUCUUUCUUCAGCCUCCAGAGGAGCUGGGACCACAGAUCCUUUGGCAUUUGAGAGUUGCUUUGUGUAUACGGUCCUUUAACGGAGCAAAUGGCCAGCCAGGAAACCAAAGUAUGGACAAGGGGAAAGAAGCGUCUGUGGAGGAAGUUUUACAAGCGCCCUCCUCAUCCAUUUGGGUGGUGUUGCCCAUAUGCUACAUGUCUGUGGACCACUAUGUGUGUUUAAAGCUUUUUAGUAAAACGUUACUAAAAACUAUGACUCACUGUGGUGAAAAAGGUGGCAAAACAGUGACAACACAACACGGAGAUGCAUUGACACCCUUCUUCAAUCCAGAGGAUGGGCCAUCAACUCACAAAAGUACAAGGCCUGGAACCAGCUGCAAAGUUCCUAUGGAUCACUUGGCCAGGCUGUACAGGAAGCAUAGUGACUUCUGCUUCUGGGAAGACCUCAGGAAAUUUCCAAUCAUGGUGGAAGGCAAAGGGGGAGCCAGCACUUCACACAGCCAGAGCAGGAUGAAGAGAGGGGCUGGAGUGCUACGCACUUUUAAGCAACCAGAUCUUGUGAGAACUCACUCACUAUCAGGAGAACAACACCAGUGGUGCUAAAACCAUUCAUGAAAAUCACCCUCAGGAGCCAAUCACCUCCCACCAGAUCCCACGGCAAACACUGCAGAUUACAAUUUGACAUGAGAUUUGGUGGGGACAAAGAUCCAAUUUAUUUCAGCGAUGAAAAUGUAUUCUUAUGUUCUCUUCUAUGGAUUUGGUCAAUUUGGCUCCUAUAUUUAGAUGCAUUAUUAAUUUGAGUCAAUCAUGCAUAUGGUGCUAGGGAGGCAAUAACUUGCAUGUCAGUGUCCAUUUGUCCCAGCAACACUGUGUGAGGAAAUAUUUCUUUAUAUUGAAUUGACUUGUCAACCUUGUAAAAUUGUUUUACCAUGCAUGUAAGAAUUAAUUUUCGACAUUUGAUUUUAUUCCAUUGAUAUAUAUGUCUCUCUAUCGGGAGAAAUUCAGCCAGAUAGCAGGCGAAAUUCCACCCCGAUAUUUCACGUAGGUUCUUUUCUAGAUUCCCUGAGUGUCAGCCAGUCUGAGAAAUAAAGGGACAGAGUACAAAAGAGAUAAAUUUUAAAGCUGGGUGUCCGGGGGAGACAUCACGUGUCGGCACCUUCCGUGAUGCCCCCCGAGCCGUAAAACCAGCAAGUUUUUAUUAGUGAUUUUCAAAAGGGGAGGGAGUGUACCAAUAGGGUGUGGGUCACAGAGAUCACGUGCUUCACAAGGUAAUAGAAUAUCACAAGGCAAAUGGAGGCAGGGCGAGAUCACAGGACCACAGGACUGGGGCAAAAUUAAAAUUGCUGAUGAAGUUAUAGGCACGCAUUCUCAUUGAUAACAUCUUAUCAGGAGACAGGGUUUGAGAGCAGACAACCAGUCUGUCCAAAAUUUAUUAGGCGGGAAUUUCCUCAUCCUAAUAAGCCUAGGAGCGCUAUGGGAGACUAGGGCUUAUUUCAUCCCUACAGCUUUGACCAUAAAAGAUGGCUGCCCCCGAAGCGGCCAUUUUAGAGGCCUACACUCAGGAUCGCAUUCUCUUUCUCAGGGAUGUUCCUUGCUGAGAAAGAAUUCAGUGAUAUUUCUCCCAUUUGCUUUUGAAAGAAGAGAAAUAUGGCUCUGUUCCAUCCGGCUCACUGGUGGUCAGAGUUUAAGGUUAUCUCUCUUGUUCCCUGAACAUUGCUGUUAUCCUGUUCUUUUUUCAAGGUGCCCAGAUUUCAUAUUGUUCAAACACACAUGCUCUACAAACACUUUGUGCAGUUAACGCAAUCAUCACAGGGUCCUGAGGCGACACACAUCCUCCUCAGCUUAUGAAGAUGAUAGGAUUAAGAGAUUAAAGUAAAGACAGGCAUAGGAAAUCACAAGGGCAUUGAUUGGGGAAGUGAUAAGUGUCCAUGAAAUCUUCACAAUUUAUGUUCAGAGAUUGCAGUAAAGACAGGAGUAAGAAAUUAUAAAAGUCUGAAAUUGGGGAACUAGUAAUUGUCUGUGAAAUCUUCACAAUCCACGUUCUUCUGCCAUGGCUUCAGCCGGUCCCUCGGUUCGGGGUCCCUGACUUCCCGCAACCUCUCUCCUUCUCACAUAGUAGAUAAACACACACAGGGUACAUGAUAUGUUUUGGUACAGGCAUGUAAUGUGAAAUAAGCACACAUCAUGGAGAAUUGGACAACUAUCUCUAUGAGCAUUUAUCCUUUGAGUUACAAACAAUUCAAUUAUGCUUUUUAAGUUUUGUAAAAAUAUGCAAUUAUUAUUGACUUUCAUAGUUACCCUGUUACGCUAUCAGUUUGUUUUAUUCAUUCUUUCUAUUUGUUUUGUAACCAUUAAACAUCCCUACCUUCCCCCAGCCCCCUGCUACCAUUCCCAGCCUCUGUUAACCAUCCUUCUACUCUCUAUGUCCAUGAGUUCAACUGUUUUGAUUUUUAGAACCCACAAAUAAGUGACAACAUGUGAUAUUUGUCUUUCUGUGCCUGGUUUAUUUCACUGAAGAUAGUAAUCUCCAGUUUUAUCCUUGUUGUUGCAAAUGACUGGGUCUCUUUAUUUUUUCUGGCUUAAUAGUACUCCACUGUUUAUAUACACCAUAUGUUCUUUAUCCAAUCAUCUGUUGAUGGACACUUAAGAUUGCUUCCAAAUCUUAGCUAUUGUAAACAGUGCUGCAACAAGCAUAGGAGUGCAGAUAUCUCGUUGAUAUACUGAUUUCCUUUCUUUGGGGUAUAUAUAUGCAGCAGCCUACUGCUGGGUAUAUUUGGUAGCUCAAUUUUAGUUUUCUGAGGAACCUCCAAACUGUUCUCCAUAGUGGUUGUGCUAAUUUACAUUCCCACCAACUGUGUACAAGGGUUGCUUUUCUCCACAUCCUCACCAGCAUUUGUUAUUACCUGUCCUUUGGAUAAAAGCUAUUUUACCUGGGGUGAGAUGAUAUCUCAUUGUAGUUUUGAUUGGCAUUUCUCUGAUGAUUAAUGAUUUUGAGCACCUUUUCAUAUGCUUGUUUGCCAUUUGUAUGUCUUUUGAGAAACAUUUAUUCCAAUAUUUUGUCCUUUUUUGGUUGGAUUAUUUGACUUUUUUCCUAUAGGGUUGUUUGAGCUGCCUAUAUAUUCUAGUUAUUAAUCCAUCAGAUGGGUAGUUUGCAGAUAUUUUUUCCCAUUCUGUGGGUUGUUGCUUCACUUUGUUGAUUAUAUCCUAUGCUGUGCAGGAGCUUUUAACUUGAUAUGAUCUCAUUUGCCCAUUUUUGCAUUGGUUGCUUGUGGGAUAUUGCUCAAGAAAUUUUCUCCUAGACCAACAUACUGGAGAGUUUCCUUAAUGUUUUCUUAUAGUAGUUUCAUAGUCGGAGGUCUUCAAUGUAAGUCUUUAAUCCAUUUUGAUUUGAUUUUUUGCAUACAGUGAGAGACAGAGUUCUAGUUUCAUUCUUCUGCAUGUGGAUAACCAGUUUUCCCUGCACCAUUUAUUUAAGAGACUGGCUUUUUCCCCAGUUUACGUUCUUGGCAACUCUGUCGAAAAUGACAUAACUGUAGCGUUGUGGAUUUGUUCCUUGGUUUUCUAUUCUGUUCCAUAGGUCUAUAUGGGUAUUUUUAUUCCAAUACCAUGCUGUUUCAUUUACUAUAGGUCUCUAGUAUAAUUGGAAGUCAGGUAAUGUAAUUCCUCUAGUUUUGUUCUUUCUGCUUAGGAUAGCUAUGGCUAUUCUGGUUAUUUUGUUGUUCCAUAUCCUUAACACAAUUUUGAUUACUAUUGCUUUUGUAGUAUGUUUUGAAAUCAGAAAGUAGCAUUUUACUACACAAACUUUGUUCUUUUUCAAAAUUAUUUUGUCUGUUCUGGAAUUCUAUUUCAUUAUAUAUGAAUUUUAGAGUAAAAUUGCCAAUUAGGGGAGAAAAUGUCACCUAGGAUUUAGCUAGGGAUUGCAUUAGAUAUAUUUGGAAAGUAUCAGCAACCUAAUGAUACUAAGCUUUCUAAUCAGUGAAAGCUCAAUGUAUUUAAUUUAUAAUUGUAUUAAUAUCUUUGAUAUGUUUUGUAGUCCUCAGUAUAUGUAUCUUAUACUUAUUUUAUCAAAUUAAUUCAUAGGUAUUUAACUUUUAUGCCAUUUUACAUGAAAUGGUUUUUGAAAUUUUGUUUUUAGAUUGUUAAUUGCUAAUAAAUAAAAAUAUAGUUGUUUUUGUAUAUUGACCUGUACUAAGCUGUACUACAAGCUUGCUUAUCCCUUUUUUCAUAUUUUGUUAUGUUUUAUUAGAGUUUUUAUGAUGUCUAUAGGCAGGAUCAUGUCAUUUGGAGACAUAAUUUGACUUUCCUUCCAAUCGGACUGCGUUAUGUUUAUUUUCUACACCAAUUAUGUUGGGGACAUCCUCCAAUACAGUGGUGACUAAAACUGUGAAAGUGAUAUCCUUCUCUUGUUUCUAAUUUUACAAGAAAGUGUUUGAGCUUCCAGAACUUUUAGGAUGUCAUGUGAGGUUUUCUGUGCUUUCAUGAUGGGGAAAUUUUUCUUAUUUGCCUAACUUGUUGCAUGAUUUUAUAAGGAAUGAAAUUUCAAUUUAGCAAGUGCUUAUUGCUCAUCUUUUAAGAUGACCAUGUGUAUUAUGUCCCUUAUCUCUUAAUAUAGUUUAUGGCACUAAUUCUUUUUCUAUGUUGAACCAAAUUUGCAUUUGUAAGAUGUAUACCUUCGUCAAAAUUUAUAAAUUUUUACAUGUCUGUUAUUUGUUUUAAUAGUAUUUCCUUUAAUUUUUGUGUUUAUGUUCAUAAGUCAUAUUGAUCAUAGUUUUUCUUCAGUAACUUUGUCUAACUGUGGUAUAAGGCUGAUAAUUCACAUUGAAAAGUGAUCUAUUCUUCAUGUUGCUCUUACUGUUUUUAUGUGAAAGGUCUAAAUUUAUUUAGCAGAAAUAGAAUGGAACACAUGAAAAGGAGAAAAAAUGUACAUUUUUUCAAGAUAAUUUUCAGACUUUGCAAACAAUUAUAUUGUAUAAGUGAAUAAAACCAAAUCAGAGUAAUAAAGAUAUGUAAUUGGGCUACAUAGAUGGAGAUUUACAAUAC
rnacentral:lncRNA from 1 species